rnacentral:lncRNA from 1 species
GUGGAACUAUUGACCAUAAUUUCUCUGUGUGCACUUGGCCCAACGAUGUUUAUAAAAUAAUGAAUACUGUACCAAUAACACAAACCAACUACACGUCCUUCAUUUUUUCUGUCAGAUCAUGUGACGAAGUCAGACUAAUUUUCUCAACCAAUACCACUACACUACGCCCAAGUUAUCAUAUUGUUAUCGGACGCGUACUAUGGGAUGG